ACACUUUACAAUGCGGGAAACCGCGAUAAGGGAACCCCGAGUGCCAGCAUCAAAUGUUGGCUGUCCAGAUGAUUAAAAAUCAUUUGUUAGCAAGGGCCGGGCAAGACCGGUGCCAGCCGCCGCGGUAACACCGGCGGCCCGAGUGGUAGCCGUUUUUAUUGGGUCUAAAGGGUCCGUAGCCGGCCUGAUAAGUCCUUUGGGAAAUCUGGCAGCUUAACUGUCAGGCUUCUAAGGGAUACUGUCAGGCUUGGGACCGGAAGAGGUAAGGGGUACUCCAGGGGUAGGAGUGAAAUCUUGUAAUCCCCUGGGGGACCAUCUGUGGCGAAGGCGCCUUACCAGAACGGGUCCGACGGUGAGGGACGAAAGCUAGGGGAGCAAACCGGAUUAGAUACCCGGGUAGUCCUAGCUGUAAACGAUGCUCGCUAGGUGUCAGACACGGUGCGACCGUGUUUGGUGCCGCAGGGAAGCCGUUAAGCGAGCCACCUGGAAGUACGUCGCAAGGC
rnacentral:rRNA from 1 species